rnacentral:lncRNA from 1 species
AGAAGAUGUAGCCCUAGAUGGGGAAAAACCGAGCCGAGAGAGCCAAUUUUGGCUGGGUCUUGCCAGGUCUUGCCAGGUCUUCCCGGAGAGGGUGCGCAUGCGUAAAUCGAACACCUCCUCUAAAUCUAACGCCCUGCUCAGUUCUAGAGGGGACAGCGCCCUCUGUCCUCCUGGCCGUUUUCCUGAACUCCUAACCUCAGUCAAUACUGCCUCGGGACCUGGCGCUGCCUGGGAGAUCCAGAAGAAAGGAAGCAUCUUGGCCCCUGCCUUGGGGGCGACACGACCGUCCCCAAACACAGCGAGUCACUGGCCUGGGUCUUUGUGCAGAGGCCCCUCUAGGAGCGGGGAACCAACGAUGGCACGAACAUUGAUUUGAGGAGGAUGCUUCGCAGUUUACGAAAAAAUGAGUGCUAGAGGCGUUCAGAAACGGGAAAGAUCACUUUGUGCUCCUGUGAUCUGAAGGCUGCGUGAAGAAGAUGAGGCUUGGAAAAUAGGACUUACCACAUUACAGGACAGACCACAGUGCAUGUCUGUCUGCUCCAACAGAAGUGGCUUUCUUGAGGGAAGGAAUUCUGCCUUGUUCAACUUUAUAUUCCCCCACAGUGCCUUGCAGAAAGUAGGAGCCCAGAAAAUGUGUACUGAAUUGCUCAGAAUUGUGUGGUGAGGUAGAAAGUAUUGCUUAAUCUCUCCGAGACCUCAAUUUCCUUAUUUGUAAAUUAAACUGCUGAUUAAUUUCUAAAGUUCUUUUGAGUUACAGAAUUCUGUUACCCAACAAGGUUUCAGAGAUUGAGAAGAUUGAAUUAUUUGAUUUCUAAAUUCUUUUUCAACUUCAAUAUUAAAUGAUUUUAUAAUACCGA